rnacentral:rRNA from 1 species
GACGAACGCUGGCGGCGUGCUUAACACAUGCGAGUCGAACGGAAAGGCCCUGCUUUUGUGGGGUGCUCGAGUGGCGAACGGGUGAGUAACACGUGAGUAACCUGCCCUUGACUUUGGGAUAACUUCAGGAAACUGGGGCUAAUACCGGAUAGGAGCUCCUGCUGCAUGGUGGGGGUUGGAAAGUUUCGGCGGUUGGGGAUGGACUCGCGGCUUAUCAGCUUGUUGGUGGGGUAGUGGCUUACCAAGGCUUUGACGGGUAGCCGGCCUGAGAGGGUGACCGGCCACAUUGGGACUGAGAUACGGCCCAGACUCAUACGGGAGGCAGCAGUGGGGAAUAGUGCACAAUGGGCGGAAGCCGGAUGCAGCAACGCCGCGUGCGGGAUGACGGCCUUCGGGUUGGAAACCGCUUUCGCCUGUGACGAAGCGUGAGUGACGGUAAUGGGUAAAGAAGCACCGGCUAACUACGU